AGUUGGAGAACCAGCCGCUGGAUCAUUCUUAAAACCUUUGUUUUUUGAUGGAUUUGUAUGAAAAAAGUGUAUAAUUUAUUGAUUCUGCUAGCACUAGUUUCAGAACAUAGUAUAUGAGUAGUAGAGUACUGCUUAGUGAUGAAUUGUAAUAACCCCUGGUAUGGGAUCAAUUGGCUCUGGCUGCGAUAACGAACGCAUAAGAGUGCGAUAAGAGUUUCUCUUCUAAUGCGCAGCAGUUGCUGCGGG
rnacentral:rRNA from 1 species